UACGUAGGGUGCGAGCGUUAAUCGGAAUUACUGGGCGUAAAGUGUGCGCAGGUGGCCGCGCAAGUCGAGUGUGAAAUCCCCGAGCUUAACUUGAGAAUUGCGCUCGAAACUACGUGGCUCGAGUGUGGCAGAGGAAGGUGGAAUUCCACGUGUAGCGGUGAAAUGCGUAGAGAUGUGGAGGAACACCGAUGGCGAAGGCAGCCUUCUGGGCCAACACUGACGCUCAUGCACGAAAGCGUGGGGAGCAUACAGG
rnacentral:rRNA from 1 species